AUUGAACGCUGGCGGCAGGCCUAACACAUGCAAGUCGAACGCGUGGCGGACGGGUGAGUAAUGUCUGGGAAACUGCCCGAUGGAGGGGGAUAACUACUGGAAACGGUAGCUAAUAUCGCAUACCAUCGGAUGUGCCCAGAUGGGAUUAGCUCGUAGGUGGGGUAACGGCUCACCUCGGCGACGCUCCCUAGCUGGUCUGAGAGGAUGACCAGCCAAACUGGAACUGGGAAACGGUCCAGACACCUACGGGAGGCAGCAGUGGGGAAUAUUGCACAAUGGGCGCAAGCCUGAUGCAGCCAGGCCGCGUGUAUGAAGAAGGCCUUAGGGUUGUAAAGUACUUUCAGCGGGGAGGCGUUACCCGCAGAAGAAGCACCGGCUAACUCCGUGCCAGCAGCCGCGGUAAUAC
rnacentral:rRNA from 1 species